rnacentral:rRNA from 1 species
CCUACGGGUGGCAGCAGUGGGGAAUAUUGGACAAUGGGCGAAAGCCUGAUCCAGCCAUGCCGCGUGUGUGAAGAAGGCCUUCGGGUUGUAAAGCACUUUCAGUGGGGAAGAAAGCCUUGGGGCUAAUACCCUCGAGGAAGGACAUCACCCACAGAAGAAGCACCGGCUAACUCCGUGCCAGCAGCCGCGGUAAUACGGAGGGUGCGAGCGUUAAUCGGAAUUACUGGGCGUAAAGCGCGCGUAGGCGGUCUGAUAAGCCGGUUGUGAAAGCCCCGGGCUCAACCUGGGAACGGCAUCCGGAACUGUCAGGCUAGAGUGCAGGAGAGGAAGGUAGAAUUCCGGGUGUAGCGGUGAAAUGCGGAGAGAUCGGGAGGAAUACCAGUGGCGAAGGCGGCCUUCUGGACUGACACUGACGCUGAGGUGCGAAAGCGUGGGUAGCAAACAGGAUUAGAUACCCUAGUAGUC